AUCCCUGAUUUAGAGUGUAAGCAGAUUGCAUCAUGGUGUGGAUACCAGGAGGUGGGGAUCACUGGGGGCCAUCCUAGAGGCUGACACAAGCAGAAGAAAGGAGAUAAUUACUGGAACAAUGUCUCCUCAAAGGCCUUGCUCUGUCUAACAACCACUAUCAUCAAAGUUGUCUGAGGAAGACCUCCUGUUGCUGUGACUGACGGGACUCUUGGUGGAAGCACUAUGCCCAUGUGCCCAUGGCUGCAGCUCCCCAAGGGAGCAGGACAUUGUUGGAUUCUCUAAGAAGCUCAGAGGAAGUUACUUCUCACUGUGGUGCCAUGUGGGAUUUGAAGUCGUUCUACUCAUGCUCUGUUUUUCAGUAAAGCUGCUUCUGCCUCUGUC